rnacentral:lncRNA from 1 species
CCCUGGAAUGACCAUAUGUUUGACGUCCAAUAGCCGAUGAUAAGAUAAAAACUCAAUGUGCUCUAGUGGCGUCGUUAAAUAAAACAAACUUUUUUUAUAUAUUGGUGUUUUAGGUAGUUUUAUUCUAUUCUUUUUCAGGAUGGACACUUUCUUGCGCAAACGAGGGAUUGAUGACCGAACAAUCGAUAAGCUGAAAGAGGAUAAGAUUGACGAGGAUGUAGCACGGCUAAUGGAUGAUGAACAACUAACACAGUAUCUAUCAAAACCUGGGGAUAUUAUAGCAUUGAGACAUUUUUUAAAACCAUCCGUCCCGGACCAAACACGUAUCAGGAAGCACAGUUUGAUGGAACAACUGAAUAUGAAUCUUCUGAUACCUAAACACCAUCAUGAACAUCAACGGUUUCGUCAUUAUUGAUAAAGUAUUGGAGAUGUUUUCAGAUCUGUUUUGACAGCCAUCUUGGACGCCAUUUUGAAUAUUUCAAAAUAUUCAAGGAUACCAAAUUGCAACUCUCGAAUCCUUGAUCAACACUUACGACAGAUGCAAAAACCACAAAGAACAUUGUGGAGACCGAUCUACAAGGCAACCUUAGAUGAUAUUAGAUCAACGUGGAACCGCCAUCGCAUACGUCCCUACAGACAACGCUUGCUGAACAGUGGGCGGCCCUGGAUCAUGCACACGAUGCCGUCCUUCUACGGGACAAGGAAUUAUGCAAUUAGUGUUGAUCAACGUGAUAUCCAAGCAUGCAAAGAAGAAGCCACAAUCAGACGUAGGGCACCAUGUUGUGAAUUGAUAAAUGACUUGUGUCUUUGCAUAAUGGAAGAACAUGGCAUUGCACUCUCAAACUAUUCGGAUUCGGAAAGCAUACGUGAACUGUACCUGUUCCUCAGGUCAGAUAUAUUGCGAAACCUGUAGAUACUUUGCUAAAGCAAUCUUGCACAUGAAGUAUGUCUUAUAUUAUGACAAUAAAUAUUAUGACAUUU